rnacentral:rRNA from 1 species
UGGGGAAUAUUGCACAAUUGGCGCAAGCCUGAUGCAGCCAUGCCGCGUGUAUGAAGAAGGCCUUCGGGUUGUAAAGUACUUUCAGUCGGGAGGAAGGUGGUAAGGUUAAUAACCUUAUCAAUUGACGUUACCGACAGAAGAAGCACCGGCUAACUCCGUGCCAGCAGCCGCGGUAAUACGGUGGGUGCAAGCGUUAAUCGGAAUUACUGGGCGUAAAGCGCACGCAGGCGGUUGAUUGAGUCAGAUGUGAAAUCCCCGGGGUUAACCCGGGAAUUGCAUCUGAUACUGGUCAGCUAGAGGCUUGUAGAGGGGGGUAGAAUUCCAUGUGUAGCGGUGAAAUGCGUAGAGAUGUGGAGGAAUACCGGUGGCGAAGGCGGCCCCCUGGACAAAGACUGACGCUCAGGUGCGAAAGCGUGGGGAGCAAACAGG